rnacentral:misc_RNA from 1 species
AAGUCGUAACAAGGUCUCCGUUGGUGAACCAGCGGAGGGAUCAUUACAGAGUUGCAAAACUCCCAACCCUUUGUGAACGAACCUAUCAGUUGCUUCGGCGGCAGACCCUUCUGGGGCCUAGCCUUUACGGGUAUCCCGCCGGAGUCCUACAAACUCUUGAUUUUUUGGCAUCUCUAAGUAGCUUAUAAAUAAGUUAAAACUUUCAACAACGGAUCUCUUGGUUCUG